CCUACGGGAGGCAGCAGUGGGGAAUAUUGGACAAUGGGGGGAACCCUGAUCCAGCCAUGCCGCGUGUGUGAAGAAGGCCCUCGGGUUGUAAAGCACUUUCAGUGAGGAAGAACGCCUGGUGGUUAAUACCCAUCAGGAAAGACAUCACUCACAGAAGAAGCACCGGCUAACUCCGUGCCAGCAGCCGCGGUAAUACGGAGGGUGCGAGCGUUAAUCGGAAUUACUGGGCGUAAAGCGCGCGUAGGUGGCUUGAUAAGCCGGUUGUGAAAGCCCCGGGCUCAACCUGGGAACGGCAUCCGGAACUGUCAAGCUAGAGUGCAGGAGAGGAAGGUAGAAUUCCCGGUGUAGCGGUGAAAUGCGUAGAGAUCGGGAGGAAUACCAGUGGCGAAGGCGGCCUUCUGGACUGACACUGACACUGAGGUGCGAAAGCGUGGGUAGCAAACAGGAUUAGCUACCCUGGUAGUC
rnacentral:rRNA from 1 species